AUGAGGUAUUUGUUGGCUCAACUCGAGUCAUAUUUACUAUCCCUGUGGGUACUCGAGUAUCGUCAGGAUGCUUUAUUGCUUCCGGGUUUAGCUCAUACCCUACUAAACUAUAAAGGUAUCCGUCAAAAUAGUUUCCAUAGCGAAACUUAUGAUGACAACAAAGAGGAAUAUCUUCUCUUUACCAUAUGCAAUGGAUAUGGCAAGCAUAUUCUCUAUGUAUCAUUGGCAUUGCACUACACAUACUACAAAACCCGUAGCACAUGUUACGUACGAGAUAUUUUUCCAGAGUGUCUUUGGCAUGACAAACUUGGCAUUCCUGCUUUGGUCAUCAUUGGCAUUGGGUUGAAACCGAAACUAUCAGCAAUUCCAGUGGUUUAUGAUUAUUAUGAUGCUACAUUCUAA
rnacentral:rRNA from 1 species